ensembl:lncRNA
GAAAUGUAUCAUGGUUUACACAAAAAUAUUAAGCAGCACAUCUGUUUUCAACAUCGAUAAUAAUAAAAAUAUAUCUUGAGCACCUUAUCAGCAUAUACUGUAAGAUGAUUCAUAUUAUUAUGAUUUCUCAAGGACACUGAAGACUGGAGUAAUGCUCCUGAAAAUUCAGCUUUGUCAUCACAGGAGCAGAUCUGAAGGAGCGUUACUCUGUGGGUGAACUGCUAGCGGAUCUGGCCGGGUGCAGGGCCAGUCGGGUGCUGCUCUUUGUGGAGCAGAGCUACAGUGGAGUCCUCAGCAAGAGACUGAUGGGAUCUCUCAAACACGUCAAUGUCGUACUGCUGAACGGCUUGCCCUCGGUGCACACAGCUGAGUUCUGGGCCUCUCUGCACCCAUCCGAGUGCCUCAUAGACCACCUCAGUAAGAGUUCUGGGAUGCCCCACCUGGCUGAUGCUGCUCUGGGAUUGCUGAACGUGACUCUGGCUGGUGCUCCGUGUAACUCCACCCCUCCUCUCACCGAAGCCGAAAUGAGGAAAGAGUACAUGGGCUGCCAGAACCUCCCCACAGCUCUGUGGUACCAAAAACGGCCCAAGACUGACAAUAGCUGGAACUGAGUGAACUGACAGUUUCCAGGUCUUUCAGGAGGACUAGAACCAACUCUACUGCUCCAAAUACAUAACUCGGACACUUCAGUGGAGUACUUCCAUGGAAAACAAGUAGUCCUAGAAAUAUGACUUUGUAUAAUGCACAAACUUCAAAUUUAUGACCAGCCCUUUCCUCUCUCUCACACACACAAAAGAAUCUACCUGUGUGAGCGCACUUAAUUCACCCGGUGAUGCACAUAGACCUUUGACAAGCUGUUGAGGAACAGAGACUACAUAAUGCACGCUUAAGAGAUCGAAAGAAGAGAUGGACAUGCAGGACACAGAGAGAGAAAGCAUCUGACGUGUCCUCACUUUGAACCUCAGUUCCCCAGCUUGCCACUCCGUAGAACGCAUCCCGUAGGGAGCGUCCCAUGCAAACUUCUCCUCUCUCUGCCUGCCGUGGGGGUUCAGCGCAGGGGCAUCCACGCUCCUUUACCUGAGUGCUCUUCCGUGGGUCAUCGCACAGGGCGCGCCUGGAACUGAACAAUGGUGACAAGGCCACUCUGAAACACACCUUACACUCACUUGAACAUUUCAGGACAAAUCUCCUUGUCCCUCCUUCAGCUCAGUAAGGGACAGGGCGGUCCAGAAUGAUUUAGUAAUGAGAAAUGUUCCCUCACCACGUCUGGACCCUAGCAGACACUGGGCUCUGCAAGCAUGUAUUUAAGUCAGACCUCUUAUCCACCCUGUAUUAACCACUCUGUCCGCAGUAUUCCCUUAUCUCCGCAAACAUUUAAACGCCAGCCACUGAUAAUGUUGACAGUGACAAGAAGGUAUUUCAGGCCCCACUCCAGCUCCUGUGGGAAUUCAUACACAUUCUUCAAAAAUUACAGGCAGUAGGAUAUAAUUUUUCCGCAGGGUAUCUACUUGGUCAGAAAUAUACACUAUCAUUCAAAAGUUUGGGGUUAGUAGGAUUUUUUUAAAAAUGCUUUUGAAAUUAGUCUCUUAUAUUAUGGCUGCAUGUAUAUGAUCAAAAAUGCAGUAGAAACAGCUAUAUUUGGAAAUAUUAAAAUGUUUAAAUAAUGUUGCUAUUUAAAAAUAUUUUAAUCCUUUUUAAAAUCAAAGUUUAUCCUUCAGAAUUCAUUCUUAUUUCCUGAUUUGGUGCUAUAGAACCAUUUAUUUUGUAUCAAAGUUGAAAACAGAUGUGCUGCUUAAUAUUUUUGUGGAAACAUUGAUGCUUUUUUUUCAGGGUUCUUUGAUGAAUAGAAAGUUCAAAAGAACAGUGUUUAUUUAAAAUAGAAAUCUUUUAAACAUUAUAAAUGUCUUUACUGUCACUUCUGAUCAAUUUAAUGUCCUUACGUCAUAAAAAAAAACACUUACCCCAAACUUUUAAACACUCACAUGGACUGCCAUCGAUUUCUUCAUGCUUUUCUCACAAUACUGAUGUAAGUGGGCCAAAGCCCCAUCAAACUUCAGUGCAUUGUAGUCAAUUAUUAACUCCAAGUUUUGUAUAGUUCAGAAAUGUGUUAUCCUGUAAAUAUUUCUAUCAUGUUCUACUUAAUGAAUGAAUUUUAAUGGUCUAAAAGGAUUAUACAUGUUAUUGUUUGUGUUAAAACAUAGCUGGAGUGAAAAGAUGUAAAUACUCUAAAUAAAUUAACUUUUGUACAUA